GAUGAAGAACGCUGCGAAAUGCGAUAAGUAAUGCGAAUUGCAGAAUUCAGUGAAUCAUCGAAUCUUUGAACGCACAUUGCGCCCGCCAGUAUUCUGGCGGGCAUGCCUGUCUGAGCGUCGUUUCGACCCUCGCGCCCGGCUUCUGUCGGGGGCGGUGUUGGGGAUCGGCCACACCCUUCAGUGGGAGGCCGGCCCCUAAAUUCAGUGGCGACCACGCUGUAGCCUCCCCUGCGUAGUACUAAAACCACCUCGCAGGCGGAGAGCGGUGCGGCCCGCCGUAAAACCCCCCAACUUUUACAAGGUCGACCUCAGAUCAGGUAGGAAUACCCGCUGAACUUAAGCAUAUCAAUAAGCGGAGGA
rnacentral:misc_RNA from 1 species